GACGAACGCUGGCGGCGUGCUUAACACAUGCAAGUCGAACGCUGAAGCUCAGCUUGCUGGGUGGAUGAGUGGCGAACGGGUGAGUAACACGUGAGUAACCUGCCCUCUUCUUUGGGAUAACGCCCGGAAACGGGUGCUAAUACUGGAUAUUCACUGAUUCUCGCAUGGGGGUUGGUGGAAAGGUUUUUUCUGGUGGGGGAAGGGCUCGCGGCCUAUCAGCUUGUUGGUGGGGUGAUGGCCUACCAAGGCUUUGACGGGUAGCCGGCCUGAGAGGGUGACCGGUCACAUUGGGACUGAGAUACGGCCCAGACUCCUACGGGAGGCAGCAGUGGGGAAUAUUGCACAAUGGGCGAAAGCCUGAUGCAGCGACGCCGCGUGAGGGAUGGAGGCCUUCGGGUUGUAAACCUCUUUCGCUCAUGGUCAAGCCGCAGCUUUGGGUUGUGGUGAGGGUAGUGGGUAAAGAAGCGCCGGCUAACUACGUG
rnacentral:rRNA from 1 species